GAUGAACGCUAGCUACAGGCUUAACACAUGCAAGUCGAGGGACCGGCGCACGGGUGAGUAACACGUAUCCAACCUUCCCUUUACUCGGGGAUAGCCUUUCGAAAGAAAGAUUAAUACCCGAUAUAAAGGAUGGGGAUGCGUUCCAUUAGGUUGUUGGUGAGGUAACGGCCCACCAAGCCUUCGAUGGAUAGGGGUUCUGAGAGGAAGGUCCCCCACAUUGGAACUGAGACACGGUCCAAACUCGUACGGGAGGCAGGAGUGAGGAAUAUUGGUCAAUGGGCGCUAGCCUGAACCAGCCAAGUAGCGUGAAGGAUGACGGCCUAUGGGUUGUAAACUGCUUUUGUAUGGGGAUAGGUACCAUAAGAAUAAGGACCGGCUAAUUCCGUGCCAGCAGCCGCGGUAAUAC
rnacentral:rRNA from 1 species